AUUGAACGCUGGCGGCAGGCCUAACACAUGCAAGUCGAGCGGAUGAGUGGAGCUUGCUCCAUGAUUCAGCGGCGGACGGGUGAGUAAUGCCUAGGAAUCUGCCUGGUAGUGGGGGACAACGGUUCGAAAGGAACGCUAAUACCGCAUACGUCCGACGGGAGAAAGUGGGGGAUCUUCGGACCUCACGCUAUCAGAUGAGCCUAGGUCGGAUUAGCUAGUUGGUGAGGUAAAGGUCCACAAAGGCGACGAUCCGUAACUGGUCUGAGAGGAUGAUGAGUGAGCUCGGAACUGAGACAGGGUCCAGACUCCUACGAGAGGCAGCAGUGGGGGAUAUUGGACACUGGGCGAAAGCCUGAUCCGACCAGGCCGCGUGUGUGAAGAAGGUCUUCGGAUUGUAAAGCACUUUAAGUUGGGAGGAAGGGCAGUAAGUUAAUACCUUGCUGUUUUGACGUUACCAACAGAAUAAGCACCGGCUAACUUCGUGCCAGCAUCCGCCGCAGUAA
rnacentral:rRNA from 1 species